UUUCCUUUAGGGACAUCGAAAAAAAAUGGGAAUGAUGCAUAGAAGAUUAGCAUCCUUUCUACACAAAAAAUGACACCCAUGAAUCGAGAAAUGAUCUAAAUUUAC